AACGGGUGGAGCCUGUCGGUUUAAUUGGAUUCAACGCCGGAAAUCUCACCGGGGCGACAGCAAUAUGAAGGUCAGGCUGAAGACCUUACCCGAUUAGCUGAGAGGUGGUGCAUGGCCGUCGUCAGUUCGUACUGUGAAGCAUCCUGUUAAGUCAGGCAACGAGCGAGACCCACGUCCACAGUUGCCAGCAUACCCUCCGGGGUGAUGGGUACACUGUGGAGACCGCCGCUGCUAAAGCGGAGGAAGGAGUGGGCAACGGUAGGUCAGUAUGCCCCGAAUCUCCCGGGCUACACGCGGGCUACAAUGGUUGGUACAAUGGGCAUCUACCCCGAAAGGGGAAGGAAAUCUCUUAAAGCCAAUCGUAGUUCGGAUUGAGGGCUGCAACUCGCCCUCAUGAAGCUGGAAUCCGUAGUAAUCGCGUUUCAACAGAACGCGGUGAAUACGUCCCUGCUCCUU
rnacentral:rRNA from 1 species